UCCAUGUACAGGUUUGGUGACAAAUGGCAUGGCAUGUGCAGAUGUGCAAGGUGGUUUUGCCUGUCAUUAUCAGACAUGUUGAGUUGCAACACCGGCUACAACAAGGCUUGAAAGCUGCUUUCCAAGGGACAACGAAGCAGUUCCAUCAGAACGGACUACCACCAUUUGCUGAUUUGUUCUCUGCAGUGAUCCCCAAAGGAGUCCUGGCUUUGCUUCCUCUCAUCCUCAAACUGUAGCAUGACAAGAAAGACGUGCCGAACAAGAUCAGCAUCAGAACAUGACAAAAAGAUUUUCGCACUAGAAGCCGGUUUAUCCAAUUCCUCUGCAUGCCUUCCAUUAGCAAGUUAAGAUAAUGCGAGAUCAUUGGUUUUUGUCAAAGCAAAUCCAGACGAUUCUUGGUGGCCUGGAAAAAGGGCUCCUCCUUGAGUGAGAGAGCUCUUGUCCUAAUCCAUCAGCAAUGGCAUUAGUUCUUUUUGAUUAAGCAGCUGGAGGCCUCACAAAAGAAAUGCUAAGUACUACUACUGAAUUUAAAGCUGGCGUCUAGAAGGAGAAGAUUAGAAUGUCGUGAAAGCAAAGCUGAUAACAAGAGAGAUGUCAUCAUAUGAGCAGGCAGUCAGUUGCAGUCUUGUGGUUGCACCUCCCUUUCCGGCUGUUCCUUUUUCUGGUUUCCCUUCAUCAGAAUUAAAGCAGAUAUUUUUGUGGCUGCCGUGGAUUUCCAUUCAUCUGAUCGGCUCGUAAUAUUCUGCAAGUGCCUUCCUUCCGAUAGAAUUGAGAUGAUUCUGAGGUCAGAUAACUCAUCAGAUGCUUGAAGGAUAAGUGGGUUUCAGACUAUGCAGCUUCUGCAAAGGAUAUAGCCGGCGGAGUGAGGCUACUGGCUUAUCGUCUUGUAUAAACUAAUAGAGGAGUCAGUACAGAGACAUCAUCAGGUAAAGUCAGCAUAUGCAGCUAUCCAUCUAUGCAUUCAUGCACCAGCUGCAAAGUAAACGUAAAAGUGAAAGCUUUGUCUUCCAGGUGUGUGGAAGAAAAUCAUCCGGUGUGUGAUGGCUGUGCUUUUGUUUUCACCCAAAUGUGUAGUAUUUUGGCAUUUUUCACCAUGGUGGUAGGGUUGAUGUGAUCCUACUAAUGUGAGGUCAUGUAAUUUGUUAAACAAAUGGAGCACAUCGAUCAUGUCGUCAUGCACUGACGAAGAUAUAGUCAUUCAAACCCUCCAUUUGAUCAGCAGAGAAAAAUUCAAAGGAAAAAAAAAAGAUGUGUA